AGCUAGGAGAGGAGGAGAAAGAGGAGGAGGAGGAGAAAGGCGAAGAAAAAGAGACGGAGCCUGAGAGACGGAGAAAGAGCGAGAGAGGAAGAAAGAGAGGCAGAAAGGGCGUGUUUCUGGCUCUGCGUUUCCCCUCCCCUUUCUCAGGUCCCUUGCUCGGGCUCUGCGCGCUCUCCGGCUGCAGCUCCCUCCGGGCGAAGCUGGGAAUUGGGUGGGAUUAUACGCAGCAGUCCCGCCGCCGCCGCUAGCAGAGCCCGGCUGGAUUGAAGAGGGCGGGGGUUCCCCUCCGUCAGCUGCGCCGAGCGCCCCUCGCCUGGUCCCUCGCCGCCUCGCUCGCCUCGCUCGCCUCGACGUCGGGCCGGGAGAAGCCGGCAGCUUGGGAGCCUCCCGCCGAGGGCGCCGCGGUCCGCGCCCCACGCCCGCAGCCCCGGCCCGGCCUCGGCGGGGCGCCGCUCCCCUCCCCCUCCGGCGCACAGGGGGCCCCCGCCGGCUUCCGCCCUCCCGGGGCUGCGAGACCAGCCCCAGCGGACCCGCUGCCCGGAGAAGCUCCAGCCAUGGGCUCGGGGCGCGUGCCCGGGCUCUGCCUGCUAGUCCUACUGGUCCAUGCCCGCGCCGCCCAGCACAGCAAAACAGCACAAGGAAAGGAAAAACAGACGACCC
rnacentral:lncRNA from 1 species